UUGACAAUUUGAUUAAACUUUCUGGUCUUGUGAUUAUUUUAUUACUGAGAUCUGAUCUUGAUUUGGUCUUCCACAGGAUCUGCUAAGUUCGAGGAAUGCUGACCCUUGAAGGAAAGAGAAAGAGUUUGACAACUUGGUCAGCAUAAUGUGCUAAUCAUAAAAGUUACUCCAUACGUUGCACUGACUGUCUGAGAUUUGGAUUUUUUAGUUGCUCUGUUUGCUAUCAAGGAUGGGGGUAAGGACUUGUCUGCACACUUCAGUUGGUAGUUGAAAUUCAAUGUUUUUGUUCUUUUGUUUGGAUCUUGAAAGGCUGAUUUUCCAUUCCUGGUCUGUUUCUUCUUCUGCUUGAGUCAUGAGGAUUCUCUUUUAUGUUUAAGCAUAGCUCUCCUGGAUUAAUUUUAGACCACGCUUGUAAUGAGAUUCUAUUGAUAGUUUUAUUCCCACCAUCUAAAUAUAAUUAGAUUACUUUUGAUCA